AUGGAUCAAAUUUUGGUUCAUGCCAUGGUUGGGUUAUCACUUCUGGAUGAGUACUUUCACAAUGGUUCAUCAUACUGCUCCGCACAUUCCUUUCAAAACUUCAGAUGAAUGGAAUGUUAGUCAAGCCCAGAUUGGUGGGACAGUCCAUUGCAAUUAUCCUCGCUGGAUAGAGAUUCUAUGUCAUGAUAUCAACGUUCACAUUCCACACCACAUUUCUCCGAGGAUACCGAGCUACAAUCUUCGGGCAGCACAUAAUUCUCUCCAAGAGAACUGGGGCAAGUAUCUCAACGAAGCCAAUUGGAAUUGGCGUCUGAUGAAGACUAUACUUACCAUGUGCCAUGUGUACGAUAAGGAGCAAAACUACGUUCCUUUCGAUGAAAUUGCUCCGAAGGAUUCAUAUCCAAUCACAUUCUUGAAGGAGGUCAUGCCUGAUCGCGCAUGACUUUGUAGACCCAUCUGAUUUGUUCUUUGAUUAUUUACAUUUUUUG
rnacentral:misc_RNA from 1 species